AUGAUUUAUUUAAUGGCCGCGGUAUCUUGACCGUGCAAAGGUAGCAUAAUCAUUAGUCAUUUAAUUGUUGACUUGUAUGAAUGGUUGGACGAAGUAUUAACUGUCUUAGUUAUAUAUUUAGAAUUUAAAUUUUAAGUUAAAAUGCUUAAAUUUUUUUAUAGGACGAGAAGACCCUAUAGAUCUUUAUUAAAUAGUUUAUUUUAUGUUUUAGUUAAAAUUUUUAAAUUAAGUUAUUUUAUUUUGUUGGGGUGACAAGGAGAUAAGAUUAACUCUUUAUUUUUUUUUUUCAUUUAUUUAUNAUUUUUUGACCUUUUAUUAUNGNAANAANAUAAANAUACCUUAGGGAUAACAGCGUAAUUCUUUUUGANAGUUCAUAUCGACAAAAGAGAUNGCGACCUCGAUUUUGAAUUAAAAUUAUAAAUAGGUGUAGGNGCUUAUUAAUUAAGUCUGUUCNACUUUUAAAUUCUUA
rnacentral:rRNA from 1 species